UACGGGGGGGGGCAAGCGUUGUUCGGAAUUACUGGGCAUAAAGGGUGCGUAGGCGGUUUGUUAAGUCACUGGUGAAAGUUUUCGGCCCAACCGGAAAAUUGCCUGUGAUACUGGCGAACUUGAGUGCGUGAGGGGUGGGGGGAACGAGCAGUGUAGCGGUGAAAUGCGUAGAUAUUGCUCGGAAGGCCGGAGCCGAAGGGGCCCCACUGGUACGUAACUGACGCUGAGGCACGAAAGCGUGGGGAGCAAACAGG
rnacentral:rRNA from 1 species